GAUCGCGUCACGUGAUCCGGUGUCGUGGGUCAUUCCUCUCUCAAAAUGGAGUUGUCUGAGUCCGUGCAGAAAGGGCUGCAGUCUCUAGCAGACGCGACGUUUUUCGACAUGAAAACCUUCUCAGUGUUCAUAGAAGUGGCAUUUCGCAGUUUGCUAUCAGCCCAUGCAGAUCGUAGUGUUCUCGAUCAGCCUGAAUUUAAACGUCUUGACCAGAAGUUGCUGAAACAUUGUCAUACUGCUGCCACGACCUGCAUACUGGAGGGGGUCAAACAAAAUGCUGACAAAUCCACUAUAAGUGCGUGCCUGGAGGAUGUUGGUUUUGAUGCGGAGAGAACAGAAGUUUUCUACACUACGUACCAGAAAUGUAGAAGUGAUCUGGAAACUCUAUUGUCAAGUUUAGGGAGAUGCCCACCUCAUAUCAAUGACGUGUCCUGGCGCCUGGAGUACUGUAUCAAGCUCCAACUUUGUUUCCAUGACAGAACGGGCAUGUGCAUAAGGUCAACGAGCCGUCCUAUCUGAUUUCAUUAAACGUUGAGAAUGCCAACAACGGAGGAUCGUCAGAAGAUCUACAUUUUAGCUGCACGAUGGAGCAACUUCAGGAUUUGGUGGGAAAGAUGAAAGACGCUGCCAAGAGUCUCGAGAAGGCUACGCAGUUGUAAACUUGCGUUGUGCUCGAAGCGUCCUGCAAGAACUGUGGAAUCCGGUGUCUCACGUGACCCCUCUCCUCUUCUCAUCUGCUCCACUCUUCUCAAAGCAAUGAAGUUCAGCGAUUUCAAGCGGUGUUGAUAUUAUUUGUAUCCGCAUUGUAUUUUAUACUAAUUUCUUUCAUAAGUAUAUAUAAUGUUGGUUGUCCGUUCUGCAAAGAUGUAUUGUUAUCAAUAAAUACGUUCAAUGAAA